rnacentral:rRNA from 1 species
AUGCCUAGCCGGGUGGGCGCUGACGACACCGGGGGCGGCCCCGGAGUGGCGGAGAUCGUGGAGGCCAGCGGCGGCGCGCACGAGAGAGCCGUGCCUCCGGGGAGUCGUUCCGCGGCGCGGAAGACCGCGCGGUUCGCCGAGCCCGUGCCUGCGCCGCGCGGGGGCGGCCCGAGCCGCCUCGACAGGUCCAUGUCGUCCGCCCCCGCGCAGGCGCUCGAGGGUCUCAAGUUCAUCAGCGAGACAGACGUCUCCGACGGAUGGACCCGCGCCGCCGGGUUCUUCGACAGUAACUCCCAGAAUGACCUCCUCCCCCGGUCCAUGUUCGGCGAGUGCAUCGGUACGUAUGAAAGAGGUCGCGUCGCCGGCGAGCUGUUCGACACGCUGGCAAGGCGGCGGGGCAUCUCCGGGGACAGCAUCGACAAGGCGGAGCUGCGUGAGUUCUGGGAUCAAAUUUCAGACCCCAGCUUCAAGAGCCGCCUGCAGCUCUUCUUCGACAUGGUGGACAAGAACGCUGACGGGAGGAUCAGCGAUGUGGAGGUCAAACAGAUCAUCACAUUGAGCGCGUCCGCGAACCAUCUAACAAUAACCGCACAACAGUCCGAGGAGUAUGUCAAGCUCAUCAUGGAGGAGUUGGACCCCCACGGCCGUGGCUACAUCGAGCUGCACAGCUUAGAGAUGCUAUUACUGAAGCCGUUAAGCGAGACGAUGACCAAGGGCGGUAAAUUGGCGGAACCCAAUUGGCACAAGCAGUUGUACCGCCGCGCCCGAUACUUCCUGAAGGACAAUUGGCGCCGCUGUUGGGUGAUGCUCCUGUGGCUAUCCAUCUGCGCGGGGCUAUUCGCUUGGAAGUUCAUGCAGUACCGCCACCGCGCUGUGUUCAAGGUGAUGGGCUAUUGCGUGUGUGUGGCCAAGGGUGGCCCCGAGACACUCAAGUUCAACAUGGCGCUCACUCUCCUUCCCGUGUGCCGCAACACCAUCACGUGGCUUCGGAGCCGCACCACGCUCGGACGGUUUGUGCCAUUUAACGACAACCUCAACUUCCACAAGAUGAUCGCUGUGGGGAUCUCUGUCGGCGCCGGGCUUCAUAUCAUCUCUCACCUGACGUGCGACUUCCCGAGGCUGGUGCACGCCACCGAUGAUGAGUAUGAGCCCAUGAAGCCAUUCUUCGGCGACGUGAAGCCGCCCAACUAUUGGUGGUUCUGGAAGGGCACAGAAGGGUGGACCGGGCUAGUGAUGUUGACAAAGAAGUCUAAGAGCCUCGUUGAGUCCAAGAAUCCAAAUAGCCUUCCCGGGCUGCUCGGACGCCUCACCCGGUCCGUGAGUGCCUCGCACAACCGCCUCACUAUGCUCAUCAACACCUCGUUCAAUCGCUUCACUGGGUACAAUGCCUUCUUGUACACACACCAUCUGUUCGUCAUCGUCUACGCGCUGCUCAUCGUCCACGGGCACUUCCUCUACCUCACCAAGAAGUGGCAAAAGAAGACGACGUGGAUGUACCUGACAGUGCCAAUUGUCGUGUACGCGUGCGAACGACUGACGCGAACACUCCGAUCGAGGGUGCGGUUGGUGGAGAAGAUCAAGGUGGCCGUGCACCCGCACCCCGCAAGCCUGCUGUCCCUGCACAUGUCCAAGCCUGAGGGGUUCAGGUUCAAGGGCGGACAAUACAUCUUCAUCAAAUGCCCAGACGUCUCAAAAUUUGAGUGGCACCCGUUCUCCAUCACAUCGGCGCCGGAGGACGACUGCGUCAGCAUCCACAUCAAGGCGCUUGGUGACUGGACCGAAGACCUCAGGGACGCCUUCCUUAAGGACGAGGACGGCGAGGCCGGGUGCCGCGGCACCGCAUUGGCCGCGGUCGGUGAAGGGGGCGAAGAAGGGCGGCUUCCCUGGCCGUGGCCGUGGCCGUGGCCCUGGGAGUUGGUGCGGUGGAAGCGACACUUGAAGGACCCGGCGUGGGUGGCCGGCGCGCAGACGCACUUGGAAGCGGGCCUGUGGCCCGUGCCGGAGGGCGCCGACGCCGACCCGGGCCACCUCCUCCGCGUAUUCUUGGAGCUAUUCCCCAAGAUACUGAUCGAUGGGCCGUAUGGUGCACCCGCGGAGGAUUACAAGCGGUACGAGGUUGUGCUUCUGGUGGGACUCGGCAUCGGCGCUACGCCCAUGAUCUCGAUCAUCAAGGACAUCAUCAACAACACGAAGCGGCUCCCCGGGGACAUCGAGUCUGGCAACCCCGGCGACGCAAGCGCGUCGACGUCGUUCAAGACUUGCCGCGCCUACUUCUACUGGACCACCCGGGAGCAGGGCUCCUUCGAGUGGUUCCGUGGGAUCAUGGACGAGGUGGCCGAGACGGACAGGGAUGGCAUCAUCAAGCUCCACACCCACUGCACCAGCGUCCACAAGGAGGGCGACGCCCGGUCGGCGCCCCUCACCAUUCUCCAGUCCCUGUACUAUGCCAAGCACGGCAUCGACAUCAUCUCCGGCAGUCGAGUCAAGACCACCUUCGGGCGAGCGGACUGGCGUGAAGCCUACGAGCGCAUCGCUCAGGAGAACCAAGGAAAACGCGUCGGAGUGUUCUACUGCGGCAUGCCGACACUGACAAAUGAAUUGCGCUAUCUUGCAAAGGAUCUCUCGAGAAAAACAAGCACACAAUUUGUUCCACAAGGAAAACUUCUAGCUUUGCCAGCCAUCCACCCACAAGGAGUUUCUCUUUUUGCGGAAACCAUGUUAAUUUAG